AUUGAACGCUGGCGGCAGGCCUAACACAUGCAAGUCGAGCGGAUGAAGGGAGCUUGCUCUUGGAUUCAGUGGCGGACGGGUGAGUAAGGCCUAGGAAUCUGCCUGGUAGUGGGGGAUAACGUCCGUAAACGGGCGCUAAUAUCGCAUACGUCCUGAGGGUGAAAGUGGGGGUUCUUAGGUCCUCGCGCUAUCAGAUGAGCCUAGUUCGCAUUAGCUAGUUGGUGGGGUAAAGGCCUACCAAGGCGACGAUCCGUAACUGGUCUGAGAGGAUGAUCAGUCACACUGGAACUGAGACACGGUCCAGACUCCUACGGGAGGCAGCAGUAGGGAAUCUUGCGCAAUGGGCGAAGGCCUGACCCAGCCAUGCCGCGUGAGUGAAGAAGGUCUUCGGAUUGUAAAGCUCUUUAAGUUGGGAGGAAGAUAAGUAUGUUAAAAUCUUGCUGUUUUGACGUUACCAACAGAGUAAGCACCGGCUAACUUCGUG
rnacentral:rRNA from 1 species